rnacentral:lncRNA from 1 species
UUUUAAGGCCGAAUAACUGAUUCAUUAAUCCAAACGCCUUUUAGGUGCUUUUAAUUUUGCUAUUGAAAGAAACUGUUACUAUACUGUUAUAUAUAUAUAUAUGAGUCCGGCUAUUAUACUAUUGAUAGUACCAAGCCCUUGAUACUAUUAAGUUUUCUACCGUUAGAUCUAUCCUGUGAUCAUUUCCAGCUGUAGAUUAUACUAU